UACGUAGGUGGCAAGCGUUGUCCGGAUUUAUUGGGUUUAAAGGGUGCGUAGGUGGUCAAUUAAGUCAGUGCUGAAAUAUCCCGGCUUAACCGGGAGGGUGGCAUUGAUACUGAUUGACUUGAGUGGAGUUGAGGUAGGCGGAAUUGACGGUGUAGCGGUGAAAUGCUUAGAUAUCGUCAAGAACACCAAUAGCGAAGGCAGCUUACUAAGCUCUAACUGACACUGAUGCACGAAAGUGUGGGGAUCAAACAGGG
rnacentral:rRNA from 1 species